GUCUGGCUAGCUCAGUUGGUAGAGCAUGUGACUGUUGAUCUCUUGGUUGUGAGUUCAAGCCUCGUGUUGGGGG
rnacentral:tRNA from 1 species